UUGUUACUCCCUCUGAUCCUAAAUUGUUGACUCAAAUUUGUCCGAAUAUGGAUGUAUCUAUUCUUAAAAAACGUCUAGAUACAUGUAAUAUUUCGACAACAAUUUAGGAUCGGAGGGAGUAGUUC
rfam:Brachypodium distachyon strain Bd21 chromosome 5, whole genome shotgun sequence.